GCUGCGGGGAAGCAUAUGCAGUAGUAGGCAGGGACAUUAGGCUGGGGAACAACAGGCAUGCAUGUGCGUUGUGUUGGCCAUAUAAAAUUAUUGCUUUUUACGUGUUUACGUUUUUGGCAGCUGUAGAUGCUACGACACACAAGCCUUGGAGCCAAAAGUUAGGUAUACACACACCCCGCGCAUCACGUGAACACCUUGCGUGGCCGCCGCCAGCAGACGACACGCAUUUAUCAUUCAGAGGAAUCAAACUGAUGCGCUUUGCAUCUUGUGUAAGUGAUACUAGCAAUUUACAUCUGUACUUACGCUUCUCCACCACAAGCCCGAGCUUCUUGAGCAGCUCGAUGGUCGCGCCAUUCUCCUCCAUCUUCGUGAUGGUCCACCCAUCCGAGCGCUCGUGAUAGUCGUACGGCAGGUAGCCGUACCCUGCGUCACCCCAGCUCGCGCCCCAGGAGUUGCGGAACUUGAAUCGCUUCUUGGCAUCAUCGUAGCCCACAAACAAGACGCAAUGGCCACCGAUGCGGUCACCCUUGGGCGUCUUAAUGACGCCAGUGGACUGUACAUCGUCGUCGUACAAAUUCUCAUAGCAUGUAAAACCCGCCACGACAGGCAUGCCGGCGGCGAUGGCGACCUUCAUAGAGCGGGUGUCUGUGCCUACACGUGCGCUCCUCAAGACCUGGAAGUCAAGGGCUUUUUCGAAGGCGGCCUGCGAGGGCUCCUCGCUAAACGGGACAUUGCCCCGAGUGCCGUACGGGCACAGCUCCUGCACAUUUACACAGGUACGUGCUUCGUCAACACAAUUGAUUAAGAACAGCCGAACGCAAUUGCCUGGCAUCCAGCCGGCAAUUUAUCAUUUGCAAACAAUUUUGUCAUCAAUUGCCAUCCAUUUUAGAUGAAUUGUGACGCACCCACGCAUCGGCUAUCGUGCACAUCUGCCCAUAGAAUUGGUUGCGUAGUUUCAUGUAAAAGGGCCGCAAGCACACAUAACCCUGCAUGUAAGCACGCGCAGGACCGCGUGCGGUGACCACCCACCUCAGGCGCAGCACCAAAUUCUUUCAGGGCCGCCAUAGCCGAUGAGGUGUAGGUACCCGUGUCCUCAUCGGGGCUGUUGUGGUCGAUCGCAACGCGUGCACAGUAAUACACGAACCUCGGUGACAGCUCUAUGGGGAUGAUACGGUGGGUGCGCACCACGUAGUCCAUGGCCGCUGUGGAGGCGAAGGCCACACAGGCGCCCACGUCAUACUGGUUACGUUUCACGGGCCAGUUCUGGGCGAGGUCCUUGGAGGGAGGCAGCGGUUCGGUAGGUCCAGCAGCAAGCUUCAGCUUGGGAUACUCCGCCAGCUGAUGUUCCGGCUGGGGCUUGAAGUUAAGCUUGAACUGGCGGACUGACAUCUUGCUUGAUUAAUUGCUUGAAUGUAGCCUGUUCGUCUUUCUGUUGUCGUCGACAACAGCAGUUGAAGCGGUACAAGUUGUACUCAACGCAAUCAGGGCCUGGGAUUCAGAAGCAGAACACUUUGCUUAGGUUUAUGCUUUAACUUGCAGCUGCUUAUAUAUGGGGAGAGCGCCCGCCAAGCUGUCAGAAAUCGUACCUUUGCUGCCUGGCAUGAGCUCGAAGUUUCGUUUGUUAACUAACCCGUUUUGGAUGGCCGACCAGUUUUUGUCGUAUUUGACCUUCAGAGAGCCCAACGUACUCCGCAUCCUCUACGCAUGUAUGUAAAAAGUCAAAGUCAAUUCGGCGUUACUGCGCAGGCAAGUAGUAGCAUGUAGUAAUCGACAAGCGCACAACAGAAGUAAUACCAUGCACGGGACGGCAUGCGGCCUCAAAGGGAUCGCCGCCCACCUACCGCGCCGAUGUGUCGCUUUUACUUCCAGUUGGCUUCAUUCUUGCGUAAAGCACUUAACUUCAGUCCACUUACCCAGAAAUAUUUCCCGCUCUCUCCGCUUCCGUCGGUGUUCCUGCAAUUCGGCGGGCUUUUCGUUGGAACAUGGACACCUACAUGCAUGCGCAACUUCAUUAAUGCGUUUAUGUGUUUUAUGUAUACAUAUAUUUCUGUGUGAAACAUAAAUACUUCGGAAAUGCGAACAAAAGUGCUGCUAUUGACUGCAUAUGACGUAUGACAUUGUAUGAUCCUGUGCUAAGCGACCGGCGGAUCACUGCUCCGUCGCUCGGCUGUAUCCUGACGCGAUUAGUAUAUAAAUUACUACAAAAAAGAGCACGAAACUGAAUAAGCGGUUACGUGCUAUUGCAUUGAAUUACACAGGACAGAUAGGCUGCUAGCGGGCUGCGCUGGUUGGCUUAUUACGGCUUAUUUGCAAUCCUGUGACGAUAAUGCGUAUGUGUGUAGCAGGCCGCAAGGAAGGCAGCGGUAGUUGCUGUUAAACAGGUCUGCCUUGUUAAGGGAACUGGUGAGGGAACUGCAAGCAAUCGUUGUGUGAGUUUAUUUUGGAAUACAUUCAUUCCAAGAAAAAAAAGCUUGAUCCGCGGACCUACCUAGGUAUAUAUAGAUAUAUCUGGUGGAUACUAAAGCCGGCAAGCUAUAAAAUCUGAAUCGCAAAUGUGUGGACCUGAUAUAUGCAUUAGCCUUGACUGGCUUCAUUACAUUUUCAAAAAGUACAUAAAUUUAUUUCUCAUAUCGUGUAUGCGCCAUUGCUUUGGGCUGGGACAGAACGAUUCUGCUGCCUCCCUGUGCCGACUGUGCCGAGGUCAUUAAUUCGUAACAUUCCGACCUGAUUAAUGCAUUUCGUUGAAUGCGUUGCAUGCAUGCUGAAAAUAUAAUUUUUUUUCUAUCUGAAAAACCCUAAUUACACCACAACGGAUCCAUUUGAAACCAAGAUGUGUGUGUGGUGGUGUGUGGUGGUGUGUGGUGGUGUGUGGUGGUGUGUGGUGGUGUGUGGUUGUUACAGUGGGCUCCAGACUCAAGAAGAUGUGCACGGUGGCAACACCACCCACUCCUCAUUCACGCACGUCAGGAGGUCAGCAGUGCGUGGCUAUAGGGUUACCAGGCGACUUCUAUCUCCCGAUUCAUCCAUCCCAUACAAUUACUAUGAUCCAUCAGAUACUUCAGAGCCCAUCGAUUCAUGGAUUGGCGGUUCUGUUAGUCUGCAUUUAAGCGCAAGCAGAAGAUGACGCCGGCGCUGAUCUAAAUCCAUCCAGCCUAAUUUACGCUGAUCAGGUUCAGCUUCUGUCCGGUGGUGGGCAGAGCCGUGCCCCUGUUGUCCGCAGCCUGCACCCCGUCGGGGGUAUCGGUGUUGACCACGUUGAGCGAUUUGCCGUUGGCCAGCUUGAGCUGCGCAACCUUGAUGUACGCAGACGCCUCGGUGGGCAUAAAGCCCACGCCUUGCACACUCAGCUUGCCGCUCACAGUGAUCGACUGCUCCGUACGCUGUUCCAACGCUUGGGCAAUGUCCUUAGCCUGCUUGUCGUAGUUUGAAUUGGCGUUGCGCAUCUUCUCAACCUCCGUCUUGUCAUAUCCGGCAUUCAUGUGCACACCGAACCAGCUGAGGACAGGUACGUUGAAGCCACCAUCGUAGUGCUGCUUCGCUUCCUUGUAGGUGGAUUUCUCGUCCUCGCUCAUGUUUUCGAGCAGCUUGGAUUCCAUUUCCAAAAUGUGGGCACAGGUCACGGCCCGCAUAGUCAUCGUGAACGUCAACUCGGCCCAUGCACCCUUCUGGACUCUGAUACCCACAGAGAUGGUGUUUGUGUAACCGGUCUGGCAAUCCUUCACCACGCCCUGCACCUCCUCACUUGCGGUAAGGGAAAGAGACAACAGGCGCAGCUUCUGUCCGACAAUAGCCCCCAUGUAGUACUUGCUUGUCGACUGGCUGCACGUGUCGUUGCCGCCUCCGGCAGGUGCAACUGGCCGUGUGGGGUCGACCACCAAGCCCGAAUGCUUGCUAGGCACGCACACCUCUGUGGGGCGCAUAUGCAGAUGGUGUAAGAUUGUUAUAUCACGGCAUUUUCGGAAGGUUAUCUAACCCCUUUGGCUCCCCGAAGGGCGAAAGAUCCGAUCAUGGGAUGCAGAUCCCGUGACAAACCCAGGAUAUUACAGUUUCCCCCCUCUACAGAACGAUGUCCUAGAUCUUUUAUCUCUCAAGUUCCCUGUGGGAUGACAGCUUGCGCAGGAUCUAUAAUUGCCGCCUCCCGGGUGCUACCUCCUCCGGCAUAGAUACCGAACCGAUUUUUUUAUCCGAACGGUGGAUGCAAAUGUCUUUUUGAUACACCACCAGGAUAGUGCAAAGAUAGCGACAUGAGACCGCAGAGCAGCGGGCAUAUGCCACCAGCAGCCAUUUGGUGUAGUGCGUUUUUUUCAAUCCGCAACACGUAAUUCCUUAGCCACCGUUCAGGUAACCAAUUUGUGCACGAUCCGCGUGCGUUUGGAAGCGUUCAUGUCCUACAUGAGCUAGUUGUUUAGUUAAGAGUGUGUGUGUGUGUAUACGUUACUUCUCUGGCGUAUACAGUACUGAUAGUCAUCGCCAAACGGGCAGUGCAGGCAUUCUAUUACAACAGUGAUACUAAUCAUGGUACAGCUCCAUGCAUACUUACGCUUCUCCACCACAAGCCCGAGCUUCGCGGCCUCCUUACGCUUGAGCAACUCGACGGUUGCGCCAUUAUCUUCCACCACCGCAAUGGCCCAGCCGUCCGAGCGCUCGGCAAAGUCGUACGGCAGGUAGCCGUACCCUUCGUGCCCCCAGCUCGGGCCCCAGGAGUUGCGG
rnacentral:lncRNA from 1 species